rnacentral:lncRNA from 1 species
AUUAUUGGGGUUUUUUCCCCACUGAAUGAAUACUUGCAUAGUUAUAUAUCAAUUGAAUGAAGGACUCUGCAGAAUCUCAGGAAAGAUGUGGAGUGUAACUGAACUCUCUUGUGUGUCAGGUAGGACUGCCUGGUUGGUGCUGCGUUCAGUGGGGUGACGGAUUGGAACGGUAUUAACAAGUCAUGCUUUUUUAACCUCAAAAAAGUUUCUUUUUUUUUUUUUCCAGAAUACUUUGACAUUCCAUCUUAUCUCCCUCUUGUUUCCCUGGUAAAGGUAUCUGGCCCCACAAAGUACUCUGGAGAAAAAGGAAAAGCGAGUUAAUUUCUGGCUUUAUGACUACUAUACAGUGUUUCAGGAAGAAGAAUCUAACUUCAUACCUGAGUGCAGUGGUAAUGUAAGGGCUUGAGGUAACAUUGUUAACUACUCACACCAACGGAAUGAAGUUAUACAGCUCACUUCCACCUGAGAAAAUAACUAUUUUAACAGUUCGUGCAUCGCUAACAAGACACAGAUGUCACCAUUGGGCAAAAAGGGAAGAAGAAGCUUAGGCAGAUGUCGACAUAAGAUCUGGGCUACACCUUCCCAGUGGGGGUACCAGGAUAGAAGACCUCCCAUCAUUGCUUUUAGUCCUGAGGGUACAGCAGACCUGUACCUUGGUCACAAGCACAGAGGAAGUUUGGUAGUUGUUCCUGAGCUUCAGAAAUACACGCUUGACCUUCAAGAGUUGCUGCUAAUUUGUUCAGUGCUCACACAGUGUGUAGCAUAGGCCUUCUGCUAUGCCUCCUGGGUGCUGCUGCAGUACAGACACCUUUCCUUUUGUUUGGGCACCUUUAUCAAUACAGCUGAAGGGAACACUGUGUGGACUGUAAAUUCCUCUCCAAGAUCAUGUAAAUACUUGGAUGGUACAUGCUGUUGCUCCUAGUGUUAAUUUAACUAGCUAAAGCUGGUUUGCACACAUCUGCAGCUACAGUAGAAGUUCAAUGUUAAAUAUUUCCAAGUGUAGGUAUGCAAAUAGUGGCAAAUCCUGAAUAAACGCAUUAUAGUAGUCAAAAAUUCUUCUGUUUUUCCUUCAAGAAAAAAACAAAGGAUGAUUUUUCCUUUAUGGUUCUCUUUUCUAACCUUUAGAAUUUCAUACAUCUCAUGAAUAUAAAAGGGUCAUAAAACCUAUAGUAAACAUUCAAGGAUUAUUUAACUACGGUCUGUGUUAUCUUUCUAUCCCACUCUCUGGAUCAGAGGUGCAGAGUGGUUGUUCCAUAUUGUGCCCACACAUAAGUGAUUACAUAUCAACAAAUAGCCACA